rnacentral:miRNA from 10 species
CCCUGGAUUAGGUCUACAUUCAUUCACUCGUUCAACGACUAUCUGAAUGUCUACUGUGUGCCAGGCCUUUGCCA